UGUGAUCACCAUAUGGACUCAAGUCUUCCAUGAUUCCUUGCCUCCGUGCUGUCUUCUCUUCCUCUGUUUUCACCACUGGCUACCUUACAACGGUCUAGAAUAGAAAUAUUUUCACACUUGACUCCAUCACGAUGCCUUCAUGCUCUCGCACAGCAGCGGAGCCAUGCUAGGGAAGCACUGCUUUUCUCCUCCCUUCCCCCUGAUGGCGGGGGGUGGGACAGAAAGAGUGAAACACUUCAUUAUUUUGUUAGCUGUUGAAAUCUUGAGAGUGACAUCUUGUUUAUUUUUGCAAUCCCCUAUUGUUUGUGUGUUGGAAGCAAAGAAAGGGCGCAAAAACAACUUCCGAACUUGUCCUGAGCUUAAUACCUUUGCUCCCGCUGGAUAAAAGUUGGGUAAACAGACACCUUGACAACUGCUAACAGUACCACACCUUGGCUUUGCUAGGCACAGAAGGGAGUCAUUUAUUUCGGGGUGAAACACCUGUCCCACCUGAAAGAUGCAGCUCACAAUUCCAAUAAAAUAUGUUGUCAUUGAA